GGAUCCUUAGACCUCUAUGCUUGUGAUGAUGAUGAGGGAAAGCAUAUGCAGCUUUUCAUUUCAACAAAACCAUGUCCCUAUCAGUCUGUACCAACCAAGGUGAUUUUAGUCCGUCCAUUCAUGACCUUUACCAACCGGCUUGGUCAUGACAUCUUCAUUAAGUUAAGUGAUGAAGAUGAACCAAAAGUUCUCCGUCCGUGUGAUUCAAGAAUUUCAUUUGCAUUUCAGAAAAC
rnacentral:misc_RNA from 1 species